CCGCUUCGAGACGCUGUAGUGUGUGGUACAUGUCCCCAAUCACCACAGUCAAAACUGCCGUCAUCUCUGCCACCUCCACUGGAAUGGGCGGGCAUGUAGUGGCUUCUGGGGUGGUUUGGGGUGUAGUGGGUAGUGGCGUGGGCGGGGGUGUAGUGGGCGGGGGUGUAGUGGACGUGGGUGUAGUGGCUGGUGUGAUGAUUGGGAGCGCCGUGCAAGUGGGUACUGGAUCGGGCAAUGAUCGGUUGAAUUGUGUAUCGAGGCAGCCACGUGGUGGUUUGUCGUCUCUCCCUCUAGAGGUGCCGUAACCCACCAUUUCCACACUCUGUAGGUUGUCAGUGGUGACCCAAGAGUGACAUAUCAUCCAACUAUCACCAAACUGUACAUCGAACUCCACAUGGUCUCUGUUGUGAUACACAGAUACCACCAAGUACCACCAGGCGGCUCUGGUGACGUUGGGGAACAUGUCCUCGGGGAACCACGCGCCAAUGCUCACCGGUCCUGUGGCGGUGUUCGCGAGAGCCUGCACACUCACGCCGCUGAAGCCUUCCUCGAGCCACAGAUGCUGGGCGAGAGGAAGGAUGCCGACUGCUACUUCUACUGCUCUAAGGUAACCUGCUACUACUACUACUACUACUGCUACUACUACUACUACUACUACUACUACUACUACUACUACUACUACUACUUCUACUUCUACUACUACUACUACCACUAUUUGGCUUUCUACUUCCACCACAACCAUCCCUCUAGCCUUCCCCAGUCAACCACAAUCCAUGAAAAUUCACCGACUUUUUCACCAGAACCUCGGAAAAAAAUGAGUUUCUGUAAGUCCAGUCGUUAAUUUUUUUUCUUUUUUUUCAUACUUUCCGUUCAACCAACAUCACCACCAUUGCCACCAUAAAAACUACCACCAUUUGGCUUUCUAUUGUCACCACAACCAUCCCUCUAGCCUUCCUCAGUCAACCACAAUCCAUGAAAAUUCACCGACUUUUCCACCAAAACCUGGGAAAAAAAAAAUUAGUUUCUGUAAGUCCAGUCUUUAACAUUUUUUUUUUUUUCAUACCUCCUUUACAACCAACAUCACCACCAUUGCCACCCUAAAAACUACCACCAUUUGGCUUUCUACUGCCACCACAACCAUCUCUCUAGCCCACCACAGUCAACCACAAUCCGUGAAAAUCUUACGACUUUUCCGCCAAAUUUUCCAGGGUGACGUCUGCCCUUUCCACCAUGAGCCCGCGGCGGCCCUUCGCAACGAGACAGUCUGGCAUUACUGGAAGGCGGGCAAGUGCGCCAAGGACAAGUGCAUUUUCCGACACAUAAAGG